rnacentral:rRNA from 1 species
GUAGGGGGCAAGCGUUAUCCGGAUUUACUGGGUGUAAAGGGAGCGUAGACGGCCAUGCAAGUCUGAUGUGAAAACCCGGGGCUCAACCCCGGGACUGCAUUGGAAACUGUGUGGCUGGAGUGUCGGAGAGGCAAGUGGAAUUCCUAGUGUAGCGGUGAAAUGCGUAGAUAUUAGGAGGAACACCAGUGGCGAAGGCGGCUUGCUGGACGACGACUGACGUUGAGGCUCGAAAGCGUGGGGAGCAAA